CUAAGGCUAUCCCUAAAGACCUGCUUACUCCCAAUGAAUGCUGAAACCCAACGAAAGUCCUGAGACAGACACUACGGGCCUCCAAGAAGACCAACAGCCUGAAGAACAGAAGAAAGACAAAAACCCAGAUGAUCAAGCCCCAGCACAUUCCUAGCGUCAGGACCUAAAUCUGCCCUCAGCGGUUAUAAGAAGAGUCCCACAUAUAAUCUCCACCAUCUAGUGCCCUUUGGAUAGGUGGUCAAUGCCAAUGGAUAGAAAUAGGCCAGUGAGGAAAGCCUUGAGCCUGGAAAGGUCCAGAACAUGGGCCAAUAAUGAAUCUUCUGUCACAGCAGCAUACAUAACUCAUAUGCCACUCACUAAGUUAAACUUACUUCUACCGGGCUUUCCAGAACCACUAGAGAAGAGCAAGGAAUAGCAACAGGAACAAAGGAGAAGCUUGUCCUUUAGUCACGAACAGUACAAAUAAACCUUAUCAUUCCCAUUCAUUCAUCAAA